rnacentral:rRNA from 1 species
UGAUAGAGAGUCGUGGAGGUAGAGCACUGGAUCGGCUAGGGGGCUUACCCGCUUACCAAACCGAACCAAACUCCGAAUGCCAUAGACUUGUUUCAAGGGAGUCAGCGUGCGAGGGAUAAACUCCGUACGCGAGAGGGAAACAACCCAGACCGUCAGCUAAGGUCCCUAAGUGUAGGCUAAGUGAUUAAAAGGAUGUGAGAUUGCUGAGACAGCUAGGAUGUUGGCUUAGAAACAGCCACCAUUUAAAGAGUACGUAACAGUUCACUAGUCAAGUGAUUUCGCGCCGACAAUGUAUCGGGGCUAAGUUUACCACCGAAGCUACGGACUCAGUGACCGCUUGCGGUCGCUGUUUGGUAGGGGAGCGUUCCAUAGUAGGCUGAAGGUAAACCGUAAGGUUUGCUGGACGAGAUGGAAGUGAUUAUGUCGGCAUGAGUAGCGAUAAUGCGGGUGAGAAUCCCGCACACCGAAAAUCUAAGGUUUCCUGGGCUAGGCUCGUCCUCCUGGGGUUAGUCGGGACCUAAGCUGAGGCCGAAAGGCGUAGGCGAUGGAAAACAGGCUAAAUAUUCCUGUACCACUUACAGCGUGUUUGAGCUAUGGGGUGACGCAGAAGUGAAAGGUCAGCCAGCGAUUGGAAAUGCUGGUCUAAGCCUGUAGGAGGGUCGUCUAGGUAAAUCCGGAUGACCACUACUCUGAGAGGCGAUGGGGAGCCGCUUAGCGGCAUAAACUGACCCUAAUCAUGCUGCCAAGAAAAACCUCUAUGUGAAUUCUGUAGGUGCCCGUACCGCAAACCGACACAGGUAGAUGAGGAGAGUAUCCAAAGGUGCGCGAGUGAACCCUCGUUAAGGAAUUCGGCAAAAUAAUCCCGUAACUUCGGAAGAUGGGAUGCCCUAAGUAGGUGAUGCCCCUCGCGGGUGGAGCCCAAAGGGGCCGCAGAGAAACGGGCUGGGCGACUGUUUACCAAAAACACAGGUCUCUGCUAAGCCGUAAGGCAAUGUAUAGGGACUGACACGUGCCCGGUGCCGGUAAGUUAAGAGGAUGAGUUAGUCUUCGGACGAAGCUUUGAAUCGAAGCUCCGGUAAACGGCGGCCGUAACUAUAACGGUCCUAAGGUAGCGAAAUUCCUCGUCGGCUAAAAACCGACCUGCACGAAUCGUGUAACGACUUGGCCGCUGUCUCAACGAGGGACUCGGUGAAAUUGUAGUUCCGGUGAAGAUGCCGGAUACCCGCGGCAGGACAGAAAGACCCCGUGAACCUUUACUAUAGCUUGGUAUUGGAUUUUGACACUGUAUGUGUAGGAUAGGUGGGAGGCUUUGAAGCGGGAGCGCCAGCUCUCGUGGAGCCAAUCUUGAAAUACCACCCUUGCCUUGUUAAAAUUCUAACCUAAUCCCUUGAUCGGGAUUGGAGACAGUGCCAGGUGGGUAGUUUAACUGGGGCGGUUGCCUCCUAAAGCGUAACGGAGGCGCCCAAUGGUUCCCUCAGCGCGGUCGGUAAUCGCGCGUAGAGUGUAAAGGCAUACAGGGAGCUUGACUGCGAGACUUACAAGUCGAGCAGGUGCGAAAGCAGGGCUUAGUGAUCCGACGGUUGCAUGUGGAAGCGCCGAAGCUCAACGGAUAAAAGGUACUCCGGGGAUAACAGGCUUAUUGCCCCCAAGCGCUCAUAGCGACGGGGCAGUUUGGCACCUCGAUGUCGGCUCAGCGCAUCCUGGGGCUGGAGAAGGUCCCAAGGGUUUGGCUGUUCGCCAAUUAAAGCGCUACGCGAGCUGGGUUCAGAACGUCGUGAGACAGUUCGGUCCCUAUCCGCCGUGGGUGUAGGA